rnacentral:rRNA from 1 species
GAUGAACGCUGGCGGCGUGCCUAAUACAUGCAAGUCGAGCGAACGGACGAUACGCUUGCGUCUUGGAUGUUAGCGGCGGACGGGUGAGUAACAUGUGUAUAACCUACCUAUAAGACGGGGAUAACUUCGGGAAACGGGAGCUAAUACGGUAGGAUAUUUUGCACCGCAUGGGUCAAAAGUGAAAUACGGUGUUGCGGUCACUUAUAGAUGGAUCUGCGCUGCAUGAGCUAGUUGGUAAGGUAACGGCCUACCACGGGAACGAUGCAUAGACGAACUGAGAGGGGGAUCGGCGACCCGGGAACUGAGACACGGUCCAGACUCCUACGGGAGGCAGCAGUAGGGAAUCUGCCGCAAUGGGCGAAAGCCUGACGGAGCAACGCCGCGUGAGUGAUGAAGGUCUUCGGUUCGUAAAACUCGGUUAUUAGGGAAGAACAUAUGUGUAAGUAACUGUGCCGAGCUUGACGGUAACUAAUAAGAAAGCACCGGCUAACUACGUG